rnacentral:snRNA from 10 species
AUUUCCCCAAAUGUGGGAAACUCGACUGCCUAAUUUGUGGUAGUGGGCGACUGUUUUCGCACUCUCCCCUG